rnacentral:rRNA from 1 species
AGGGAAUCUUCCACAAUGGACGCAAGUCUGAUGGAGCAACGCCGCGUGAGUGAAGAAGGUUUUCGGACCGUAAAGCUCUGUUGUUGGUGAAGAAGGAUAGAGGUAGUAACUGGCCUUUAUUUGACGGUAAUCAACCAGAAAGUCACGGCUAACUACGUGCCAGCAGCCGCGGUAAUACGUAGGUGGCAAGCGUUGUCCGGAUUUAUUGGGCGUAAAGCGAGCGCAGGCGGAAGAAUAAGUCUGAUGUGAAAGCCCUCGGCUUAACCGAGGAAUUGCAUCGGAAACUGUUUUCUUGAGUGCAGAAGAGGAGAGUA